UUCCAGACUCCUACGGGAGGCAGCAGUGGGGGAUAUUGCACAAUGGGGGAAACCCUGAUGCAGCGACGCCGCGUGAGUGAAGAAGUAUUUCGGUAUGUAAAGCUCUAUCAGCAGGGAAGAAAAUGACAGUACCUGACCAAGAAGCCCCGGCUAACUACGUGCCAGCAGCCGCGGUAAUACGUAGGGGGCAAGCGUUAUCCGGAUUUACUGGGUGUAAAGGGAGCGUAGACGGCAGCGCAAGUCUGGAGUGAAAUGCCGGGGCCCAACCCCGGAACUGCUUUGGAAACUGUGCAGCUGGAGUGCAGGAGAGGUAAGCGGAAUUCCUAGUGUAGCGGUGAAAUGCGUAGAUAUUAGGAGGAACACCAGUGGCGAAGGCGGCUUACUGGACUGUAACUGACGUUGAGGCUCGAAAGCGUGGGGAGCAAACAGGAUUAGAUACCCGUGUACC
rnacentral:rRNA from 1 species